GAUGAACGCUGGCGGCGUGCUUAACACAUGCAAGUCGAGCGAGAAGUUUUGAAAAGAUUCUUCGGAUGAAAUUUAAAAUGGAAAGCGGCGGACGGGUGAGUAACGCGUAGGCAACCUGCCCCAUACAAAGGGAUAGCAUUUGGAAACGAAUAUUAAUACCUUAUGAAACUUAACUAGUGCAUGCUAGGUAGGUCAAAGAUUUAUCGGUAUGGGAUGGGCCUGCGUCUGAUUAGCUAGUUGGUGAGGUAACGGCUCACCAAGGCGACGAUCAGUAGCCGACCUGAGAGGGUGAACGGCCACAUUGGAACUGAGACACGGUCCAAACUCCUACGGGAGGCAGCAGUGGGGAAUAUUGCACAAUGGGGGAAACCCUGAUGCAGCAACGCCGCGUGAACGAUGAAGGCCUUUGGGUCGUAAAGUUCUGUUCUAGGUGAUGAAAACUGACAGUAACCUAGGAGAAAGCCCCGGCUAACUCCGUGCCAGCAGCCGCGGUAAUACGGAGGGGGCAAGCGUUAUCCGGAAUUAUUGGGCGUAAAGGGUACGUAGGUGGCCUUUUAAGCGUAGGGUAUAAGGCAAUGGCUCAACCAUUGUUCGCCCUAUGAACUGGAAGGCUUGAGUGCAGGAGAGGGAAGCGGAAUUCCUAGUGUAGCGGUGGAAUGCAUAGAUAUUAGGAGGAACAUCAGCGGCGAAGGCGGCUUUCUGGACUGCAACUGACACUGAGGUACGAAAGCGUGGGGAGCAAACAGG
rnacentral:rRNA from 1 species